UACGGGAGGCAGCAGUGGGGAAUAUUGCACAAUGGGCGCAAGCCUGAUGCAGCCAUGCCGCGUGUAUGAAGAAGGCCUUCGGGUUGUAAAGUACUUUCAGUCGUGAGGAAGGUGUUAAGGUUAAUAACCUUAGCAAUUGACGUUAGCGACAGAAGAAGCACCGGCUAACUCCGUGCCAGCAGCCGCGGUAAUACGGAGGGUGCGAGCGUUAAUCGGAAUUACUGGGCGUAAAGGGCACGCAGGCGGUUAAUUAAGUUGGAUGUGAAAUCCCCGGGCUUAACCUGGGAAUGGCAUUCAAGACUGGUUAGCUAGAGUCUUGUAGAGGGGGUAGAAUUCCAUGUGUAGCGGUGAAAUGCGUAGAGAUGUGGAGGAAUACCGGUGGCGAAGGCGGCCCCUGGGACAAAGACUGACGCUCAUGUGCGAAAGCGUGGGGAGCAAACGAGGAUUAAAUACCUCUGGAAGAACUACCAAGGCAACAACGGAAGGGGAAUAAGG
rnacentral:rRNA from 1 species